GACCGCGUAGCUCAGUUGGAAGAGCAUUGGGCUAGUAUUCCAAAGGUCGUAGGUUCAAAUCCCGCAGUGGCCA
rnacentral:tRNA from 1 species